UACGAAGGGUGCAAGCGUUGUUCGGAAUUACUGGGCGUAAAGCGCGCGUAGGCGGGUCUGUAAGUCGAUUGUGAAAUACCUGGGCUUAACCCGGGAAUGGCAGUCGAAACUGCAGAUCUUGAAUGUCUGAGAGGAUGGCGGAAUAACCGGUGUAGUAGUGAAAUACGUAGAUAUCGGGUAGAACACCUGAGGCGAAGGCGGCUAUCUGGCGGUACAUUGACGCUGAUGCGCGAAAGCGUGGGGAGCAAACAGG
rnacentral:rRNA from 1 species